UGGGGAUAAACCCGGGAAACUGGGUAUAAUACCCAAUAGAUCUCGACUGCUGGAAUGCAUCGAGCUCCAAAGCUCCGGCGCUCAAGGAUGGAUCUGCGGCCUAUCAGGUAGUAGUGGGUGUAGCGUACCUACUAGCCUACGACGGGUACGGGUUGUGAGAGCAAGAGCCCGGAGAUGGAUUCUGAGACACGAAUCCAGGCCCUACGGGGUGCAGCAGGCGCGAAAACUUUACAAUGCUGGAAACAGCGAUAAGGGGACCUCGAGUGCCAGGUUACAAAUCUGGCUGUCGUGAUGCCUAAAAAGCAUUGCAUAGCAAGGGCCGGGCAAGACCGGUGCCAGCCGCCGCGGUAACACCGGCGGCUCGAGUGGUAACCGUUAUUAUUGGGUCUAAAGGGUCUGUAGCCGGCCGGAUAAGUCUCUUGGGAAAUCUGGCAGCUUAACUGUCAGGCUUUCAGGAGAUACUGUCUGGCUCGAGGCCGGGAGAGGUGAGAGGUACUUCAGGGGUAGGGGUGAAAUCUUGUAAUCCUUGAAGGACCACCAGUGGCGAAGGCGUCUCACCAGAACGGACCUGACGGCAAGGGACGAAAGCUAGGGGCACGAACCGGAUUAGAUACCCGGGUAGUCCUAGCCGUAAACGAUACUCGCUAGGUGUCGGCAACGGUGCGACCGUUGUCGGUGCCGUAGGGAAGCCGUGAAGCGAGCCACCUGGGAAGUACGGCCGCAAGGCUGAAACUUAA
rnacentral:rRNA from 1 species